rnacentral:lncRNA from 1 species
UUAAAUUAAAUAAUGUUUUUAACUUAACAUUAAAUUACCGAUUGAAUUCAGUUGGAAUGGUCGCCCGUACCCCACCAAAAAUCAACUUCUAUCUCCCUCCUAACCCAAAAACAAAACACUUAGAAGUCCCCCUCCUUUCCCCCACUACUGUUCCGCCAGCCACAUUUCCUUCUGCCACCCUUUAACACUAUUCCCCCGGUGUUACAACGAACCACCAGCAAACCACCAUUACAUUAUGUGGUGUUUAUACACACCAUUUCUCUUCUCAACUCCAUAAAAAUAAUACCAAAAGUUACUAUCUAAUAGCAACAUGAAACGGCCCAUAAAGCAGCCCACAACAAGUCGAAUAAUUCGAACUCACAGCUAAUAGAAAUGAAUUUAUCAAACUUCC